CGGCGGCAUCGCCGCGGUGAGGUGGCGCCCGGAGCUGUUCAGGCAUUCCCUCACUGCUGUGAUGGCCUGAGCGGCACGGGCCGGACAUCACCGCGAUGGUGCCGGGCAUCACAGCGGUGAAGGGAUGCCUGGACAGCUCCGGGCAUCACAGCAAUGAAGGGAUGCCUGGACAGCUCCGGGCAUCACAGCAAUGAAGGGAUGCCUGGACAGCUCCGGGCAUCACAGCGGUGAAGGGAUGCCUGGACAGCUCAGGGCAUCACAGCGGUGAAGGGAUGCAGUGGGGGCUGUGGCCGGCCCGCUCUGGAACGGCCCCGGCUCGGCCCCGCUUCACCGUCUCAGCCCUGUCUCGGCCCUCCUGGGGCACAGCCUCGGACCUGCCUGCGGCAUCUCUCAGCGUCCGUCCGGGCCCACCUCUGGCCCUUUCAGAUCCAGCUCCCCUCAGGUCUAGGUGCAGCCCCCAACCCGCCCAGGCUGUGUUGAACACCUCCCUCUGCUUCCCCACAGCUGCCCUGGCAGAAGCCUCGGGGAUGUGCUGCAAACCCCAGGCUGUGGCUGAGGUCCCCUCGUUUGCAGUUUUCACAAGGCAUGAGUGCUCUGCGAGCCCUUGCACCCUCACCAUGUCCUUUGUUACAAGUGGUCCCUAAUAACCAGGUAACUUAGGAUCAUGGAAUCAUGGAAUUGAGUUGGAGGGACCUUAAAGCCAUCCAGUGCCACCCCUGCCAUGGGCAGGGACACUUCCCACUGUCCCAGGGUGCUCCAAGCCCUGUCCAACCUGGCCUUGGACACUUCAGGGGAAGCCUGGCAGUGUUACUUGUCCUUUGAUUACACGAAAGAAGCAGCAGACACAGGGCGGUUCUCAGUCCUGGCAGAAUACCCUGAUACCUGGUUCCUUGAGACUCCCUGGAGCCAAAGUCAGUCUGAGACACCGAUCACAGGGACAGGAUAUUUAUCCUUGCCUAAUCUGGCUAACUCAGAGAUUAAACCGGACAUCUGCAUUGCAGCUACCUCGGGGCCAGGUUAUUAGCACUGCUUGAUUAAAACAGAGCAGUAUUUACAUAGCAGAGAUUUAUCAGAGGUAAAUUAGAGAUGUAUUGGGCACAAACUGCAUGGGAGGCUCAAAAAGACAACGAGAAUUCACCUCCCCGAGUCAGAAGGGCAAAUAUAACACGAAACAAACUCUUCAAAGGUUUCUCAAGGAAGGAAUAAAAGCCAGUACAGAUUGGGGGACAUUUAUUAGACAGAUACCACAAAAAUGCUGAGAUGCUUCCCAAAGAAAGGGGAAGGGCUUAGUGAUGUGGAUGAAUGUGCCUGUCACUAAUUGCAGUGGUAAUCGGGUAUUUCUGGCACAAGUGAAUGUUUGUUUAACACCAGCCAUCUAGGAAGGGCAGAGCAGGGUGGAUUUAAUGCAUUUCCCACUGUUUUCCAGUGACCUCACACAGAACAUCACCUGUUGUGUGGCAGCUUUUCCAGAAGUUUCAGGGCAUUUAAAUAUGAGGAUCACUGAGCUGUGAAGGGCAACGGCCUCUCAGAGGUACAAAGCUGCAGUCCCUGCUCAUCUGAGCUUAUUCUGGAUGGAAUGAACUGCACCAAGAGCUCAUAAAGGCUUAAGUGUCACUCAUAUCCCAGCAGAGCUGCUGGGAGACUUUAUUCUGCAAAUCUACAGAGUCCUCCUGGAGAUCAGUGGAGCUGCUCUCAAUUUGCCAGCACUGCAAGCCCGGCUUCUGCCUUGAUUUUUAUUCCCAAUUUGUUGUUUAAAUUCGAGUCGUGGCUGCAUUCAUGCAUCUCAGAGCAGCCAUUCAUUAUUCAGAAUAUGCAAAGGAGAGCAGCACAGGUAGAGCUUCCUGUGCUAAUCCAUUUUAGGUUUAGCAGAGAUUGGGCUUGAAAGAGGAAGAAAUGAGGAGUAGAGACAUUGUAGGGAGGAGGAUUCCCAGCAGGUUGGUCGGGGAUUCAGUGAGCUGAUAUAUUCUGGGCUAUUCAGCUCCUGCAAACUGAAAUACCUUGUUUCAUGCCAAUGGAUUUAUGCUAAUCUUCCCUACAGCAACCCGAGCACAAGAUUUAAUUAUUAAUGCUAUCAUUUAUUAUGCCAUGUAUUAAUAAAGGAAUGUAGCUCAGCUUGUAAAAACCACUGCGCUUCAGAUCCCAGCAAAACAGGCUGUGUAACUGUAGGCUGUUAAUAUUCCUUCUCACCUUUUCUUUGAGUGGAAAACCCUUUGCUGUGUGCCAGGAGGAUGGGGAGUGCGUCUGCAGCCAGCCUUGCAGUGUGGAACUUCCACGGGACUCGGGGUGAGGAUGGAGCUUUGGAAAGGAAAGCCACUCCUGAAGGCAUCCUGCUCCCAAAACUGGUAUUUCCAGGCACAGAGGAGUGCUGGUGGAUUCCCCCAUUCCCUCUGUGUCCCUUUUGCUGCUUUCUGCCAUAAUGCAGAGGAUAAUCAAGCCCCUGGAUGUGUUACUGUUAGAAAAAUCAAUACAGUGAGCAGAGCAAGGGAAUAAAGCAUGGCUGGUUCCGGCAAGAAUGGAGUGGCCUGGGCCACUUGUCUCACCUGUAGCAGCUCAGCAUUGUCCCCCUUCCCCCUGAUGGAGCUGAAGCUGCUCCCUUACUGGUUUAACUGGGUGUGAGUGUCCCCAGCCCAUCAACACUUCAGGCAGAAGAUCCCAAGCCCAGGUUCACCCCUUGCAGACCUCUCCUGGGUGACCUAAAUAAAGCAAAUUAUUCUGAGGGAUGGUGCAGGAAUGAAAAGGCAGCGGUGCCUCAUCCCUGGAAGAGUCCAAGGCCAGGCUGGAGCAGCCUGGGACAGUGGGAGGUGUCCCUGCCCAUGGUCCCUCCCAACCCAAACCAUUCCAUGAUUCCAAAUCCCACUGCUGCCCAAGGAAAAGCAACAACUCCAUGACAGAACAUUCCCGUUCCUUCCUUCUCCUCUGCUGCAUCCAGAAUUAACACAUCCCAACCUGCAACUGGCAUUUCCUGAAGGAAAAGCUCAGCCCUGAGCCCUGUGCUGGGGCCUGACUGAGCACCAAGAAAUUACCUGAAUGCACCCCGUGAUCUCUAGGGGGGGUUGCCUUUUUUUCCUUUUUUAAGCGAAGAAUUUCUCCAUCAGAAACUGCGACAGGGACAUUUAGGGCGGAGCCUGCAGUGGCUGCUGCUGCUGCUGCUUUUGUUGCAGAAGCAGAGAAGGAGCU
rnacentral:lncRNA from 1 species